rnacentral:rRNA from 1 species
UAACACUGCCUAGGUUAUUUAUGGCCUGAUCUCGUCAGAUUUUAGAAGCCAAGCAGGACUGAGCCUGGUUAGUUCUUGGACGGGAGAUCACUGGGAAUAUCAGGACCACAGUGUGGC